ACAACCCUCGGAGAAAGAGAGGAGAGAGAGUGAGGGGGGUUCUGGUCACCGUCUUUGUCUAUUUAUUAUUUAUUUUAUUAUUUCCGGAAUCCUGCGAGAAAAACGAAAAAACCGAGAAAAAUGGGAGAAAAACCGGAAUCUUAGGCGGAGAUCGUCUUCGAUUCGUCGGCGGAGGACAACGCAGGAGAUCGAGGUCGGGGAGCAGGCGGCGGAGGAGAGGGAGAAGCGGCAGCGGCGAUGGUGGUGUAGAUGAAACCCUAGGGAGAGUGAAGGAGGGGAGGACGGCGAAGGAUGAGAUCUUCUUUCUUGUGAAUGGAAACCGUAGGCCGGAACGGCAGCGGCCUCCUGACCGGAUCCGCGGGCACCUCGCGAGACGAUCCACCGGCGGCAUUGGGCUUCGGCGCUUGCCUUCUCCGGCGGCUGACGGGAUCCCCUCCGCCACGGGAUCGGUGGUUUGUAGGGUUUUAAUCGGUUCUUUUUUCCUUUUCUGUUUGAUUUUUGUGGGGUGGGUUCUGGGAGGGAGGGGAUGGGGAUAUCCGACGGCGGAGAGGGAGGAGGGAUCGGCGUGGACUGCUCGGUGGGGACCAUCGUCUGGGUGCGGCGGAGGAACGGCUCGUGGUGGCCGGGGAGGAUACUCGGCCCGGAUGAGCUGUCGGCGUCUCAUCUUAUGUCGCCGAGAUCAGGGACGCCGGUCAAGCUCCUCGGAAGGGAGGACGCAAGCGUGGACUGGUACAACUUAGAGAAAUCCAAACGUGUCAAGGCAUUUCGAUGUGGGGAGUUUGAUGCUUGUAUUGAGAGGGCCGAAGCUGCACAGGGCAUUCCUAUCAAGAAAAGGGAGAAAUAUGCACGCCGAGAAGAUGCUAUCCUUCAUGCUCUAGAGCUUGAGAAGAAGCAGCAGAAGUCAGGGGCUGCCUCGAACAGUAUGGCGAAUAAACCUUCAGCUAUUAUGAAAAAAGAAUUUGAGAACUUAUCUUCAGAAUUGUGCAUGAGAAAUGAUGAGCCUCGAGUACAUGGUAAAUAUACAAGCCACAAGCCUCAGAUGCUUUCAAGAAGAGCAGGUUUGUCCCAUGAAGAAGAUAAUAUUGGAAAUCCCAUGUAUUUAGACAAGGGAAAAAAUAGUAACCAAUUUGUGUUUGAAGAGGAUAUUCCUGAAAAUGUUCCUAGGAUGAGAGGUUUGCAGGAUUUUGGCCUUCGAAUAGCUCCAUCAAAGAGAAAGCUGUCUCAGUCUGUUGACAAUCACAUGGAUAUUUCUAAUGCUGGGCAUACAGUGGGAGUUGCCAGUCAUGGUGGUAGCAGCAAAAAUUCCUUCCCCAAUAAAAAGAAAAGAUCACAGGGGGGUAUGGUUGAGGAGUCGCUUGUUAAAAAACGUGAUAGGCGUCGACCACUUAAUCAGGUUUUGCAGAGUAGUCCAAAAUUAACCGCUCCUCAUUCUUUUCAGCCUGAUCAUGAUAGUGGUGUUGUUUUAUUGCACGGAGAAAAGGACCAUAUGGCUAGUAUAUGUCGGGCAAGAAGGAGCAGAUGCAUCUAUCUACCUGCUGAUUCAAAUGACUCUCUUGAUCAUGGUGGAUAUCCUUCUGAACAAACACCAGCAACACUGUUUGGAAGGGACAACUGCCUUGAGCACCCUGCUACUUCAACAGAUGAAUAUACAUCUUCUGAGCUGAUGGAAGUAGAUGACUCUGAUUUUUCUGGAAAGGCAUACCUUGAAACUGAUGUUGAAGAGGAGGCUGAUCUGUUAGAAGAUACUACAGUGUCAGGAGCGAAAGGCUGUGAGCCCUCUGCAUAUCAAGUUUCUGAAAAAUUCACAAAUGUGGACGAUAAUGAGGUGGCCCUUUCUAGUUUACAUCCUCAGGAGCACACUGCAGAUGUUUCUGCUGAGAUAGGAGUCUCCAAAUGGCAUAUGAAAAGGAAACGCAACAUUCGUAAUAUAGCAAAGCGCAGUGGUUCUGUAAGAGGGACAACAUAUGAAAACAAGGGAAGGGAAGCUUCUAGCCAGAGGACUUCAGUACGCGACUUCUACCAUAAAAGGGAGUUUAACUAUGCUCGUGAUGAAGUUGAUUUGAUUGGUAAGGAUGUGGGUGGUGCAGAAUUGACUGGGUAUGGUAAUCGAAGAUAUUCCUCUGUUCUGAAAGCAGCCAGAGAUCGUGGGAGAAGUCACAUUAGCUUCAAAGAUUCUGACAAUGAUUCUCAUAUGAUUUCCCCAUCAGUCUGGAAAUCUGGAGGCCCAUAUCAUGUGGCUCGUAGGGCAUACCAGGAAGAUUCUGACGAGUGUUAUGAGACAGUUUAUGGUGCUCGUCUCAGUGACAGGACGAGGCCUAUGCUGUUUGAUGUGGAUUUGAAGGUUCAAGCAAGUUAUCAAGGUGAGCAUGUUCCUCUGGUUUCUCUGAUGAGCAGAUUGAAUGGCAAAGCAAUUAUAGGACACCCUGUUCAAAUUGAAAUACUCAAAGAUGGUUCCACUGAUCCACUUGUUUCUAGAAAUGUUUUUGGUCUGGAUGAAAAUACAGCAUGCCCACCUGUCUGGAGGACUGCAAGAAGAACUGCCAUGCAACGAGUUCCUCGUUCUAACCCAUCAGCCUUGGAUGGUGAAGAUGCUGGUGGUCUUCAAUAUAGAGACAGAGAAAGCAAACCUCCACUUAAGAAAUAUUCUGGUCAUUUCAAUCAACAGGCCAAGUUGGUGAAGAAGAGUAUCUCUCAGGCCCGCCAGCCAGCAUUAGGGAAGUCCCAGAAGAAGAGUUCUAGAAGAGCACCUCCAUCUAGUCAGAAAACUAGAACUCUAUCUUCUAUUGGAACUGAAUCGAAGUUCAGUGGUGAGAACAGGGGUGCAAAACCUGUUCCGGGUAUUAGUAUUUUGGGUGAUUUGAUUAAACCAGAGGGGACAGUGCCUCUGGUCACAUGUGUCCCUGUGAAGGUGGCCUUUAGUAGAAUUCGUGAAGCAGUAGGGAGGUCAUCUUUGGCUGAUCGUGUAUGGGUGGCCAGUCCAGCUGUGAAGGAUUAGUCUAGUUGUAGAUGGCAAUUUUGGCCACCCUUUGCUUGCAAAGCCUCAUGUACAAUUAAAAGUUUACAUAUCAAAUUUUCAGUAAAAACAUUUAUCAUUAGGUAGGUGAUGCAAGUCUCUCCAAAGCUUAAUCCGGUGAUUCUGUUUCACCAAUGCCUUGCAACUGAACCUGAUAGGCUGGUGUACAAUGUAUCAUGGCAAUCAUAUGUUUCUAUUCUGAUGGAGAUGGCGACUUGUGUAGUUGGUCUAUCAUGGCAGGGUGCUCCAAAGUACAGCAUGUGUUGCUGAUCUGGUAUUUCGACCUUUGGGUUGGCUGACUUGAAUCUCUGUAAAGUGCUAACUGCACAUUUAGCAUAUUAGCUGGUUCUGCCUUUUGAUAUACAUAUAUACCUGAUAGAUACCAGUUUAACUUAUUGCCAUUGUCUAGCUGCUUCAAGUGUGUACUGGGGUCAUCAUUGAAGAAAUGGGCCGAAUGUUAGCUAUUUGCAUUUGUUACCCUGUCGAAGAAUCUUCUUUUCUGCAUAAGAGGGACUGUUGGAAAAUCUUGUACUUCUGCUUCAGGUACAAAAUAAUGCACAAGGCUUGAUGGCAGUGCAGGAGCACCUUGAGUAGGCAAUCAAUGACCGUCAGGCAAGGCAAUGGAACUUGCAUUCCAAGCUGGUGGUAUUGUCACAAGGAAUCUCAGCUAAAUUGGCUGCAGCCAUGCAGGCAACGUGAGAAGAUGAGUCAUGAUAUUGGUUAUUGAUAAUCUUAUUUAUUUACACUGCUGAAAAAUUUGAGGAUACCCUGGUCUAUUGGUCGCACAGUUGCAGGUGGCCGGAGUAGUAAAAUUCUAAGAUCAACUUUUAGAAAGGCUGAUACAUUGCAUUGCUUUAGAUCUCACUCAGAGAUACUAAGUAUUUUGUACAUGUUCUGCUGAUAGGGCACCUAUCAGAGGUCCAAACUGACAAAGAACAUACUCUUAUCAUGACUAUAAUUUUGGGUCAGAAUGAUGCAUGCUCUAGCUUGUCAAUA